UUAUAGUUCAAAAAAAAGUUCAUAUGGUAAAACAAUUACAAAACAUCAAAUAUACGUUAUGAAAAUGGUCCAAGAGAGUAAUGAGUAAUAGUACUCACUACUCACUCCUCAACCUACUAUAUAGUCCGAAAGUUCAUUGGUUUCUAGUGUAUAUAUGGUAAGAUAAGUUCAGAAACAUCAAAUAAACGUAAUGAAAAUGGUCCAAGCGAGUGAUGAGUAAUAGUACUCAUAUCGGUUCAACAAGCCUCUCCUAUAUUAAACCGUGUCACUCCUCUUCACUAUCCCUACAUUUCUCAAUUAUUAAUAUCAUCACUCAAAGAACAAUUCUCAGCCUUAUUCUCUUAUUGCUUAUCCAUAAUGGGAGAGGUCCUUAAGAAGGAGGCGUACGGACUGGCUGUAAAAGACGAAUCUGGAGUUAUCUCGCCUUUCCAUUUCUCAAGAAGGGAGACAGGAGAAAAUGAUGUGAGGUUCAAAGUGUUGUUCUGUGGAAUUUGCCACACAGAUUUAAGCAUGGCCAUAAACGAGUGGGGGUUUACUAGUUACCCCCUUGUCCCCGGGUAAGACAACAUUUGGAUACUCAAAAGAUACUCAAAAUCAUAUCAAGAAUGGAA